CCUUGGCCAAAUCAGAAGAGGAGAUAUUACAGUAUAUCAUAUCAUAUGUAAUUCAAUAGAAGGAAGCAGAGCUGGAAGGCUGGAAGCAGCAUUAGUUUUUGGAGAUAUUUGAGCUAUGUUGAGACUUGAGAAGGCCUAAAUGCCUGGUUACAAAAAUGGAACAUAAAUGGAGCUUUUAAGUAUAUCGUAUUGGGAUUAUAUUAAGAAAUGAAACGAAGCAGCAUGGAGCAUGGUGAAUGAUCUGGUUCAGCAACCUCUGACAUCAAUUGUGAGUUGUGACAAACUUACAUUCAGAGCAAAGAGCAUGUAUUAGAAAUUUAGAACACAAUAAAUUAAGAUUGACCUGCACUACAAAUCUCCCAAGUUUGUUCUUGCAAGUUGCAACUAAGUUUGGACAAAACUUAGGAUAUUUCACUUUUUACAUAAAACCAAAAUACAUAAAAAGAAUUUCAAUGGUUUAUGUUCAAAAACCAAGAAGCUCUAUAGUUAUUAUAGUUAACAACAUUACCUUUUUUCAAAUUCUGAGUAUGUCAAGGAUAAUUCCAAUAGCUCCAGCCUCUAGCUCUACUACUGACAUCCCUGUUUUGUCUUUACUUAUUCUGUUUCGAUUCCCCAUCCCUGGAUCGUCUCUUCCAUCUCCCUUGUCAAAUUUCUGGGAGCUUUGGUUGGACAGUGACGCCAAGUUACUCACUGGUACUUGAAUCCAAGCACCCUGUUACAUGAUUAUGAUGAACAAUCGCCAAAAGCAAUUCUUGCAUGGUAUGUCAUAUUAUAUUUGUUGCUUGCAUUGUUUAAGGCCACCAUAUGAACUGCAACAAGAAAAAUAGGAUGUAAAUAGGUGUCAUUCAUAUUGCAUUAUUCAAACUCAAGAUGAUAAUAGUCUGAUUGGAGUACAUACAUUCAAACUUUGGUUAAGGACAUAGAAUAUACUUGCAGCUUUGUCUUGAAAUAUAAACAAAUAAAACGAAAAGCAGGCAUAUUAGACAUUUUAUACAAUAUCAAAUACAGAUUCAACCAAAUAACUAAAUGUUAUAAGAUCUCGAACAAUUAAACAUUUGUACAUGCAGUAUAAGAUGUCCAUCAAAAUAUGAUAUAAUAUGGUGCCUUCGUUCUCCCAACUGAUAUGGUAACCAAUAGUACUCGCGCCAGGACCUUCAAGGUGAAUUGUUGAUCA
rnacentral:lncRNA from 1 species